GGGAUAACACCUGGAAACAGAUGCUAAUACCGGAUAACAACACUAGACGCAUGUCUAGAGUUUGAAAGAUGGUUCUGCUAUCACUCUUGGAUGGACCUGCGGUGCAUUAGCUAGUUGGUAAGGUAACGGCUUACCAAGGCAAUGAUGCAUAGCCGAGUUGAGAGACUGAUCGGCCACAUUGGGACUGAGACACGGCCCAAACUCCUACGGGAGGCAGCAGUAGGGAAUCUUCCACAAUGGACGAAAGUCUGAUGGAGCAACGCCGCGUGAGUGAAGAAGGGUUUCGGCUCGUAAAGCUCUGUUGGUAGUGAAGAAAGAUAGAGGUAGUAACUGGCCUUUAUUUGACGGUAAUUACUUAGAAAGUCACGGCUAACUACGUGCCAGCAGCCGCGGUAAUACGUAGGUGGCAAGCGUUGUCCGGAUUUAUUGGGCGUAAAGCGAGUGCAGGCGGUUCAAUAAGUCUGAUGUGAAAGCCUUCGGCUCAACCGGAGAAUUGCAUCAGAAACUGUUGAACUUGAGUGCAGAAGAGGAGAGUGGAACUCCAUGUGUAGCGGUGGAAUGCGUAGAUAUAUGGAAGAACACCAGUGGCGAAGGCGGCUCUCUGGUCUGCAACUGACGCUGAGGCUCGAAAGCAUGGGUAGCGAACAGGAUUAGAUACCCUGGUAGUCCAUGCCGUAAAC
rnacentral:rRNA from 1 species